UACGUAGGAGACGAGCGUUGUCCGGAAUUACUGGGCGUAAAGCGCGUGUAGGCGGCCUGUGACAGGCAGCUGUGAAAAUCGAGGCUCAACCUCGAGACGUCGGUUGAAACCGUACGGCUAGAGUCCGGAAGAGGAGAGUGGAAUUCCUGGUGUAGCGGUGGAAUGCGCAGAUAUCAGGAGGAACACCGGUGGCGAAGGCGGGUCUCUGGGCCAUUACUGACGCUGAGGAGCGAAAGCGUGGGGAGCGAACAGG
rnacentral:rRNA from 1 species